rnacentral:rRNA from 1 species
CCCUUAGAUGUUCUGGGCCGCACGCGCGCUACACUGAUGCAUUCAACGAGUCUAAAACCUGCUCUGAUAGGGGUGGGUAAUCUUUUGAAUGUGCAUCGUGAUUGGGAUAGAUGAUUGCAAUUUUUCAUCUUCAACGAGGAAUGCCUAGUAAACGCAAGUCAUCAGCUUGCAUUGAUUACGUCCCUGCCCUUCGUACACACCGCCCGUCGCUCCUACCGAUUGAAUGAUCCGAUGAAUAUCAUGGAUUGAGGAUUAUAGCAGGUUCGCCUGUCUUGAUCUUCGAGAAGUGAAGUAAAUCUUAUCAUUUAGAGGAAGGAGAAGUCGUAACA